AUUAUUGUUAAAGUGUCCGAAAUUAAAACAGUGACAUCAAUUAGACAAGCUUGCUGAGGUUUUUUCUAAGCUAAAAUGGGUCAGGAUUUCCAACACAACGGCAAUUCAAUUAGACUAAUUAAUUUGCAAUUACAGCAAGAGACGAAAUGAUAUUUCAUAAAUAUUUCAAUUAAAUCAUCACAUUACAAAUAUGUAGAAAGCUGACAAAUUAUUAGAGCACACAAAAUUAAUGUAGAUCGUAUUAACUGUACUUGCUGAAUAAUAGGAUCGAUUUAAAUGAGAUCUGAUGUGCAGAGCAAUGCAUGGCCAGUGGUUUAAUUAAUUAAAAUCACUUACCUUGCUGUCUGCUAUGUCAGUUCACUGAGACAGAUACAGUGCUUAUAAAUUCAUUAUAUGUCAGACCCUCUAGAUAGACACACUGAAGACGAUGCACUGGUAAAAUAAUAUGAGUCCCACACUGGGGACAAAUCUAAAUAAUUAUCAAGGACUCACAUUGAAAUCAGGAUGUCUGAUUGGUCACAAUUAUUGUAUCUUGUGAUUGGAUAGAUUAGUGAUAGAUUGAUAGGUGAUACAGAACUGUUACUGAUUUUAAAAGUGUGUGAAAUCAAUACAUCACCAAUACAGACAUUACAUAUAUACACACAUAAAU